AAUUUUUUAUUUUAAUGAGAAUUCUUUUUUUCCAAAGAAGAGGUUAUGAAAUUA
rnacentral:tRNA from 1 species